AAUAUACUCCCUCCGUUCCGAAUUACUUGUCGUAGAUAUGGAGGUAUCUAGAUGUAUUUUAGAUUUAGAUACAUCCAUUUUUGCGACGAGUAAUUUGGAAUGGACGAAGUAUGUG
rnacentral:pre_miRNA from 1 species